rnacentral:rRNA from 1 species
AGAGUUUGAUCAUGGCUCAGAAUCAACGCUGGCGGCGCGCUUAACACAUGCAAGUCGCACGAGAAAGCAGGAGCAAUCUUGUGAGUACAGUGGCGUACGGGUGAGUAACACGUGGGUAAUCUACCCUUUAGUGGGGAAUAACGCUGGGAAACCGGCGCUAAUACCGCAUAAUCUCGAGAGAGGAAAGCAGCAAUGCGCUGAAGGAGGAGCCCGCGGCCGAUUAGCUGGUUGGUAGGGUAAAAGCCUACCAAGGCAUAGAUCGGUAGCCGGCCUGAGAGGGCACACGGCCACACUGGCACUGAAACACGGGCCAGACUCCUACGGGAGGCAGCAGUGGGGAAUCUUGCAUAAUGGGGGAAACCCUGAUGCAGCGACGCCGCGUGAGCGAUGAAGCCCUUCGGGGUGUAAAGCUCUUUCGUCAGGGACGAUAAUGACGGUACCUGGAGAAGCAGCCGCGGCUAACUACGUGCCAGCAGCCGCGGUAAUACGUAGGCAGCGAGCGUUGUUCGGAGUUACUGGGCGUAAAGGGUGUGUAGGCGUUCUAAGUUUGGUGUGAAAUCUCCCGGCUCAACCGGGGAGGGUGCGCCGAAAACUGGGAGACUAGAGUGCGGGAUGGGAGAGUAGAAUUCCUGGUGUAGCGGUGAAAUGCGUAGAUAUCAGGAGGAAUACCGGUGGUGUAGACGGCUCUCUGGACCGCCACUGACGCUGAGACACGAAAGCGUGGGUAGCAAACAGGAUUAGAUACCCUAGUAGUCC